rnacentral:rRNA from 1 species
ACAGAGACCUCAAGCGUUAUCCGGAAUCAUUGGGCGUAAAGCGUACCGAUAGGUGGUUUUACUAGUCAGAGGUGAAAUCCCAAGGCUCAACUUUGGGACUGUCCUUUGAAACUGUACAACUAGAGGGGCAAAGAGGAAGCUGGAACGAACGGUGUAGUAGUGAAAUGCGUAGAGAUGUGGAGGAACACCGAUGGCGAAGGCAGCCCCCUGGGUCAAAACUGACGCUCAUGCACGAAAGCGUGGGGAGCAAACAGGA